rnacentral:rRNA from 1 species
AGGCGGUCUGGUAAGCGUGUGGUGAAAGCCCGGGGCUCAACCCCGGAAUAGCCUUUGAGACUGGAUUGCUUGAACAUCGGAGAGGUGAGUGGAAUUCCGAGUGUAGAGGUGAAAUUCGUAGAUAUUCGGAAGAACACCAGUGGCGAAGGCGGCUCACUGGACGAUUGUUGACGCUGAGGUGCGAAAGCGUGGGGAGCAAACAGG